CCUACGGUGGGCAGCAGUGGGGGAUAUUGCACAAUGGGGGGAACCCUGAUGCCGCGACGCCGCGUGGGUGAUGGAGCGUUUCGGCGCGUAAAGCCCUAUCGGCAGGGAAGUCGGAGGUCGGUACCUGACUAAGAAGCCCCUGCUAACUACGUGCCAGCAGCCGCGGUAAUACGUCGGGGGCAAGCGUUAUCCGGAUUUACGGGGUGUAAAGGGGGCGCAGACGGCAGCGCAAGCCAGUAGUGAAAGCCCGGGGCCCAACCCCGGGACUGCACUGGGAACUGCGCGGCUGGAGUGCAGGAGGGGCAGGCGGAAUUCGUGGUGGAGCGGGGAAAGGCGUAGAGAUCAGGAGGAACACCGGGGGCGAAGGCGGCCUGCUGGACUGCGACUGACGUUGAGGCCCGAAAGCGUGGGGAGCAAACAGGAUUAGAUACCCCGGUAGUC
rnacentral:rRNA from 1 species